UAGUGUUGGCAGCUUUUGGCAUGGCGGCGUUUUCUGGUCCGGCCGCGCCGGUCUUGUCGCUUAACCCGCAAGAAGAUGUCGAGUUUCAAAAGGAGGUGGCGCAGGUUCGCAAGCGCGUAACCCAGCGAAAAAAAUGAGAACAACUUACUCCUGGAGUCGUCUAUGUGCGCCACCUGCCUAACUUACUUGAGGAAACCCAGAUCUUUUCCUAUUUCUCCCAGUUUGGCACUGUGACACGGUUCGGACUGUCCAGAAGUAAAAGGGUAAGAUUUCUGUAGUUGCAUUUGAUGUUUUGUUUUUCAAAUGUGUAUUAUCUUUGACAUUAAAGAGCACGUUAACUUA